GCGUGCAGGUCCGUUGCCAGCCUCAGCCAAUCAGCGCUCAGCCCCACCGGCUGGACCAAUAGCAGUUCCUUUUGCUCCCCAUUCAAAAUUGUGGGCGUGGAGCGCGGAUGCACGCGACUUCUCAGGCCAGAGCAGAGCCAGGGAGGAAGGGGAGAGUUCAGGGAAGGUCCCAUGAUCAGGGCUUUCCUCAGCUCUUCUACUCUUUGGGACCGAGGUGGGAUCUUCACAGACCCCUUCAUUACAGCAGCUAGGGCACCCUCCUGGCUUCCUGUUGACAUGCACACAUAUCAGUGGGACAAGGUAAAAGGAGACCUGGCAGAUGCCAUUAUGUGAGCUAGAAGACCCAGGGAAGGCUGGCAUGACAGACUCCCAUUGUUUCCUCCUUAAUCACAUAUUUAUGGAGCACCAGCCUGAGACAGUGAGAGCAACGCACACAGAAGGGUCACCUCUGGUACUUGUGGCACUUCCAUCCUCACCUCAAGCCCCAGAGGGAGAGCCAGGACCCCAAACUCCUUCACUAUCACCUCCAGCUCUAGAGCUCCUAGUGGCCCCAUAGCCAAUGCCAGCUCCUGAGCGCCACCUUGGACCUGCUAAUGCCCAAGGGAGGCCCCUGUGCUCCCUUACUGUUUCACUAGUUUUCCUAUUUUCAUUGUUGGAUUUUGUUUUUACUAUUAAUUUUGAAUAAAAGUGAAUAUUGUACUUAUUUUGAAAUGUU